AUAAUGGAAGCCUCUGGAGACCAGACCUAGACCAGCUAACUCACUGGCUCUGCACUUUGGCUAUAAUUCUGAGACCUUUGGAGCCAGGCCCAGGCAUUCCCUCUGGCAAUUAGAGGAGAAACUGCUCCAAGACUUCUACCUACAACGGACUGCAUUCUGGUCUUGCCUACCUUUAGCUUCAUCUUCAAGCUUCCUAGAGGCUACUGCCAAGUGAACAGCAGAGAGCUCCAAAGGGGCCCACUGAGUACAAUUUCUUCUUCUCUGAGCACGGACAGCGACCCAAGCCAAAUCUUAGGCUGAGAAGAAACAACCAUGAUUCAGCAGGAUUAUGAACAGGAAGCAGAUUCCUGCCUUUGUCCAUUUCCAGCUUCUCUCUGAGGAGGGUGGGCCCUCCAAGCAACCCUGCCUCACUGCCUCUCGUUACUAAGCCAACGGGCUCUGCAGGUAGCUCUCCUGUCUGUGGCAUCUCUUCCCCGCACCAGGGGCUGCUCCAGGAAUCCCUGGGAGACAGGCACAGGCCCAGAGCCCAUCACAGUUUCGCCUUGGUUUCAGAAGUCUUGGGGGAAGAAAGCGUGCAGCUCUGCAGACCCCUCUCCUCACAACAGGCGGCAGAACUAGCGUUAAACUGGGGAUGAGGGGUGCAUUCAAGCCCGAGCGGGGAGCAGCUACUGGAUUCAACUGCUCUCUCCAUUACCCACAACCCUCUGGGACCCUCCAUUGUUCAAAAACACACAACCUGUGUAUUUCUGGAAUGUUUUCCAACACCAACAACUAAUUCUCUAUGGACACCAAUUGGGUGUCUUACAUGUCAAUUCAAUUCUGACACAAACUACCUGGAGUUAGCACAGAACUCACAGCUUAAGGGCUCAGUCCCACAAG